AACGAACGCUGGCGGCAGGCUUAACACAUGCAAGUCGAGCGCCUCGCAAGGGGAGCGGCAGACGGGUGAGUAACGCGUGGGAACAUGCCCAAAGGUACGGAACAACUCCGGGAAACUGGAGCUAAUACCGUAUGUGACCGAGAGGUGAAAGAUUUAUCGCCUUUGGAUUGGCCCGCGUUGGAUUAGCUAGUUGGUGGGGUAAAGGCCUACCAAGGCGACGAUCCAUAGCUGGUCUGAGAGGAUGAUCAGCCACACUGGGACUGAGACACGGCCCAGACUCCUACGGGAGGCAGCAGUGAGGAAUAUUGGACAAUGGGCGCAAGCCUGAUCCAGCCAUGCCGCGUGUGUGAUGAAGGCCUUAGGGUUGUAAAGCACUUUCGCCAGGGACGAUAAUGACGGUACCUGGAUAAGAAGCCCCGGCUAACUUCGUGCCAGCAGCCGCGGUAAUAC
rnacentral:rRNA from 1 species